CGCGUAGGUGGUAGUGCAAGUCUGGGGUGGAAUCUUAGGGCUUAACCCUAAAACUGCCUUGGAAACUGCAUUACUUGAGUCAGUGAGGGGAGGGUAGAAUUCCUGGUGUAGCGGUGAAAUGCGUAGAUAUCAGGAGGAAGGCCUGUGGCGAAGGCGGCCCUCUGGCGCUGAACUGACACUGAGGAGCGAAAGCGUGGGUAGCAAACAGGAUUAGAUACCCUGGUAGUCCACGCCCUAAACGGUGGGUACUAGGUGUAGGGCUCGUAAGGGUUCUGUGCCGAAGGGAAACCAUUAAGUACCCCGCCUGGGGAGUACGGCCGCAAGGUUGAA
rnacentral:rRNA from 1 species